AUCAUUGAUGAUGAGGAGGUGGUCACUCAGAUUCUUAAUGGCUUAGAUUAUGAAUACAAUCCAUUUGUAUCUUCUGUUCUCGGGAGAGUUAGCCUCAUCUCGCUAGAUGAUCUUUAUGGCGAGAUGCUCGCCUAUGAUG